rnacentral:lncRNA from 1 species
AGAAAUCACGUGAAGAAGUAGAUUGCCCAAGUAGGCGUAAAGCAUUAUGCGCGCCAGCCGCGAAACAUGCGCACAACGCUCACAUCCCUUCCGUACGCACAGCACAGGGUCGAGACCUACAUGCGUUUUGUCGCACACUGGCGGGCUGCCCGCACGUCACCUCGCGUGCAGAUAGAUGCUGCACAUUGUGCGCACACUAUUCCCACAGCAGGCCUGUGCGGAUAGGCCCUAUGCACCUGGGGCCUGCGCCCUGUAGGCCUGUGCGCACCUAGCCCCUAAGCACACACAAGCUAGCCCUUGUGCGCUCCUAGCCUUUACGCACGCGCAGGCUAGCCCUUGUGUGCGCCGCGUGUGCAUCGGCCAAGGCACUGCCACCUCGGGCGGCACAUCGCCGCCACCGUUAUAGGGGACUCUGUUCCUUC